rnacentral:tRNA from 1 species
GCCUGGGUGGCUCAGUCAGUUAAGCAUCCGACUUCAGCUCAGGUCAUGAUCUCGCAGUUUGUGGGUUCGAGCCCCGCGUCAGGCU